AAGUGUUGGAAUUACAGGCGUGAACCACCAUGCCUGGCCAGCUCUAUUUCUUUAAGCCUACAUGUUUUGCACUUGUUAAAAGUAUUUGAAUAUACAAUUACUCAGUUUCCCUUGUUUAUGCUUGAAUUUUGUAUAAUCUUAAAUAUUUUUUCCAAUCUAAGCUUUAUUUUAUCCCGUUUCUUCUAUAUUUGUAUAACUUUAGGUGGCUAUCUUCAUUGAAAAUUUUUUCUCAAAAGCCUUAAAAUAGAACAUAGUUCUUGGCAGCAAUUUAAAGUUAUUUGAGGAGAAGGGGAGACUUACAAUGAUGCUUCAAUUGAAGCAAACUAAAAAGUAAUGAAGCAAGACAGAGGAAAAAGCAGUAUUCACUUGAGCACAUCCCAAAAGAAUAACAUUUCAAAUGUAACUAGAAAAAAGAUUGCUGAAGUUUGCAAUACAGAAAUAAUUAUUAAGAUAGCUUUAAAGCCCUGCUCAGCUUUUGAAUGUUGGGAAUUGACCCAGAGGUGGCUGUAAACUAAGAUGGUUCCUUCAGUAAUGACCAUUUUUUCUUUUUCAAGAUGAUGAUUAUUCCCCACCUUCUAGGACACAAAGACCAACGAGCCACCACAGCCACCAGUCCCAGAACCCGCUAAUGCUGGGGAACGGAAAAUGAGGGAGUUCAACUCUGGCCCUCACAAUCCAGUGGAGGAGACGAAACUCAUCUGCCUCUGUCCCUCUGGGCACGCCUCAUGCCAGGUGCAUCUGUGGACAGGGGCCAUGCUCCUGGGCUUCCAAAGUUGGAGAAAGCUGCCAGGCUCAGAGCCACCUAAGCUGAAGAUUCCCUUGAGAACAAGUACUGUCCUGCGGUUUCAUGGCCUUUCUUCCAUUUGUGGUUCUUGCGAAGUGGAAUUUAAAUGACAUCUUAUCAAGAUCGAUAAAUACUAGUUUCCCAGUGCUGGAAUAUAGAAAAUGGAUGGACAAGUAAAUCCCACUCAGCACCCAUAGUCCAGGCAUGGGGACCUCAACACACCUGAGCCCCAAACAUCACCUUUCAUUCUGGACCUACCAUGAAAGACUUCUGAAUCCAGGAAGAGAAACUGACUGGGCAACAUGUUAUUCAGAAACAGGACCUUGCCCUGUCACUCAGGAUGGAGUUCAAUGGUCCUAUCAUGGCUCAUUAUAGCCUUAAACUCCCAGGCUCAAGCAAUCCUACCAUGUCAGCCUUCCCAGUAGCUGGGACUACAGGAAGUGACCUCACAAUGACUCAAGCUACCACAUACUGUUGAUUGUGAAAUGCCAGUUGAAGCAUAUGUCCUGCGAGCUUAGGGGUGCUACAAGUUGACCACUGCAGCAGUAAAGAUGACUCUGAAGAAUGGCAUGGGAUGGAUCCUUUCGAAUGCACUUGAGCAGCGGUCUCCAACCACAGGGCCACAGAGCUGGAGCUGGAUCUACCAUGAAAGACUUCUGAAUCCAGGAAGAGAGACUGACUGGGCAACAUGUUAUUCAGGAGAUGGGGUCUCACCCUGUCACCCAGGCUUGAGUACAG
rnacentral:lncRNA from 1 species